GCCUCCAUGGCUCAGAGGUAGAGCAUUCCCUUGGUAAGGGAAAGGUCUCGGGUUCAAAUCCCGAUGGAGGCU
rnacentral:tRNA from 2 species